rnacentral:lncRNA from 1 species
UGGCACCCUGAUCUGAGAUUUCCAGCCUCCAGAGCUAUGAGGAAACACUGAGGCUCAGAGAAGUUGAGUCACUUGGAUUACCCCCAGCUGAUAAGUGGCAGAACCGCGAUGGAAACUCAGUUUCUCAAUGUUUCCGAGUCAAAAUUACACUACAGCCCAGACAGCUUUCAAUUCACAAUCUCUUCGUUGAAUGACAGGAGAGAAGGAUAGGAGGAUAGGAGGAGAGAGCUGCUCAAAGGCUGCAGCUAUGGAACUCUGGCAACUUUGGGCCCUUGUUGGCAACAAUGGACUAGAGCUGAAAGCAAAUGCCCCCUCGAUGAAGAAACCAGCUCAUCCACAAACCACAGCGCAGCACGUCAGGAGUGCAAGAGAGGAAGUUAGGCUCACCAAGUUGCGAGGUCCUUAACAGCUGACAGGGCGAACCCUGUGAUCCUUCUCAAAUAUAUGUUAUGUUAACAUUUGCACUCGCAGCU